rnacentral:lncRNA from 1 species
UGAAAACUGUGGUGAAAGGAUAUUUAGAUAUAUGGAAUGAAGAUUCUCAGAGCUCAGACCAAGACAAAUAACGUUGUGUGUUGUGAAUAUGACCUAUGAGGUAUUCCAAAUAGUAUGAAAUAUUUCCUGUCUUUGAGUAUUCUAGGUAUGCAGGUUGAAAUGACACUGCCCAGAACUUAUGGAAACAUAUACUCAGAAACUAUGCUCUCAGGCAUCAGCUCCAUUGCCUUUCUGUAUGUUCCGUAAGUAAUACUAUGGAGGAGAGGAAGAAGAAGAACGCACCAUGUUGGGGAGGAGACCUGGUACACAUAAACGAGCAGCCUCAAACAGAGAUGUUAAAAAAUACAAACCAAGAAUCUCUGCUAAGCAAGAUUCCUGGAAUUUGGUAAACGUUUCAGGCUGGUCGUUGCACAUUUCGGUAAUCCUGGGUUUGAUGGCUGUGGCUGAGGACUAUAUGCAGUGACCAGGAUCUUACUGAUCUCUUCAGUGGGCAUUUUGAAUUUGACAAGACAGUUCAUCUUUCAUCUGGUGAGAUUUAUAUACUGUUCUCCAAAUGUGCCCACAAUUUGUCAUCAUAUGCUGGCAGGAGUAGAGACAAAAAAGGAUUCAGGAAUGAUAUGGAUAUAGCAUAAUUACUCAAGGUAAAUGCACACAAUUCUAGGGGCAGUUCUCUGAUCUAAAGUUAUGGCUAAUAUGCCUGUCUUCUAUAACUCUUAAUUGCCUUCCAUGCUUCAUGUAUAGGUUGAUUCAAUAAGUUGAAUCCAUUGAAAGUACAUAUAUAGUCUUAAUUAUGUAAACAUGCUUCAUUGUAGAGACACAAUGUGGCAGACACACUCUAGGGUGGCUCCCCAGGAUGCCUGCUUCCUGGCGUCAAGUACAGUUCCCUCCCCUGAGUGUAGGCAGAAUCUGUGACUUGCAUCAAACUAAUAUAAACAAAUAGAACAUAGCAAAGUUGAUGGGACGUGAUUCUUAUGAUUUUUGUUUCAUUAUUUGGACUCCAUCUUGCUAGUAGAGUCUCUUUAGGACUCACUUUUGCCAGCUUGAUGAUGGAAGUGAC